GGCUGGACAAAAGCCGCCUUUCCGGACAAGAUGGACGUCGCGCAGGACUUGAAUCUUUUAUGACCUACGCCGAGCUAAAAGAAUCACUUUCUAGGUAGAAAGGAAUUCUGCGGCGGAUUUUUACUCGCUAUUAUUUAUACAAUAAAUUCUAGGGUCGACCGAGUGACGUCACGAGGCUUAGUUUGAAAAAUCAAGAUGGCGCCCGGCACGAUGCUCUAGGUUGUUCCACGAUUGUUCUAUGGAGUUUACAGGCAUAAAUCGAGAACAUGGAUGGGGAAUGCCGUUGAUAGUUGGUAGAGAAAAUAGCGAUCGUGGAUGAUAUCGCCGAGUCAAGACGGACGAGAAGCCGGGCGCAGGAAGGUCGGCCCAAAAAGAUGUCGACCACGGCCCGAAAUAAGAGACCCGACACCUUGCGACAAAUCUGACUCUCUGCUCCGUUUCUCCUGUAUCUAAUGGCUACCAUGCAACGAAAGGGGAGACUACAGGGGUGAUAAGAUUCGAGUUACCUUUCAUCGAUGUCACCUGUCGGGAUCCAUAACUCGACGCACAAAUUUGGCAGCCAGCUGUCACGACUGACAGCCACCAGGUUGGACGGAUGCUUCUCGCGCCGCGUUUCUUGGCCAAAUCUGGCGAACACUCCUGGCAACGUGGCGGACAAUGGAAGGGCGAUACCGGGGUUCAUAACAAAACGGAGAUGUCAGGGUGUCGGCCUGCCAUCUUGGUCUCGCGACGAAAAUCAAUGCGAGACCACGCGGUGUAACAUGCGCAUGCUACACACGUGUCCAGCUCCGGAUGACAGGGUCUUCAGGUACGCCCUUAGGGGUUCGCGACUCUGCUAGGUGCAAUCGAUGGUGUCGGUAAAAGGGCUGGUAAAAAGGCGGCAAGUGGUGGUCCCUUAUCAACCAAUAACCGAGAAGUUCGUCGCGUCGACGGCGACAUCGUCGGUAAGGUCGCGUGCUAUCUCGUCGUGGUUACGGGGGUGGACAACCCCGAGGGUGCAAGCUCUGUCGGUACCACUGGAUGCGUAUGAUACGAUUCGAGCUAGAAAUUCAAGCCUAGCCGGUACGGCAGUGAUCCAGCAAUCUCUGGGGGUGGGUGGUCGGAAAAGCAUUCGGGCGCUCGAGCUCAAUUAAUUUAGUGUGGACUAAUGGACUGACGUAGGAGCUCCAGCGCUCCGCUACAAUCCGAAGCUACAAAUUAUUCGGCAGCUGCCGGUGGAGUUCCGCUUUAACGCGGACGAGCCGCAAGUUCCCUUCCUUCACUCCUAUCGCAAGUCACGAGGAUCCUGCAGAAGUAACCAGGCCUCACUUGACGAGGAAUUGCAAGUGCGGUAGAUCUGAAUUAUAUCGCCGCCGUAAAGCUCCCUCGGAGGCGGGCGAGGAAAAAGUAAUUUAAUCGUGAGCGGAUCGGCUUUCCCGUUUGAAUUAAUCAGACUGACGCUCUAUAACCAGAUCGGCCGAAGUAAUCGACACGGAUUCCAGCGACAGCGGCUUGGCAUAUGGAACGACUUUCGAGGGAGACAACUGCGGUGUCCGGCCUCAAAGACGGAAGAAGAAAUCGACAACGAGCGGUUUUUGGAAAUCUCCU